rnacentral:lncRNA from 1 species
UUUUCCCGACAGUGAUAAGCUCAAAACAAAAAUUCUAACAAUAAAAUCUCUACCAAAUUAACAACUUUCCUAACAAUUUGUAGAUAAAAUCCUAACAAUAAAAUCAACAACUUUUAUAUAAUAUCUCUACCAAAUUAACAACUUUCCUAACAACUUGAUGAACUAAAUCGGUUUAAUCCGAUCAACAUAGGUUCAAGUCUGUUCUGCAUCAUUCGCUUCUGCUGCGCAGGAUCUCGUCCUCGAGAUUAGUUGGAUUUGUAAACAGAUAGGAAACAACCAAGUGUGUAGAAUAAAGUGAUGCAGCCCAAUGCUUGCAUGUCGAACCACUUGUGUCAUCUGAGCUUCCGGUUUGGUAUUGAAGUUGGAAGAACAACUGACAAGUUUAUGAGAUUUCGUAAGGUUUGAUACCAAUAAGGAAUAUGCUUUCAAUGCAAUCUGAAGCUCUAGUAUGGUCGAUUCAUAUUGCUAGGGCAAUAAGGGUAACUCGAUCUGUAAUCUUACCUCCUCAACACACUGAUUUACCUUAUCUUCAUGAAUCAACUCUUAGAUUUUCUAAAUCUAACUGGGGCUCGGCCACAUCUGGAACUUCUUGGCAAUCGAAUGUUGUGGAUGAAACUGGAUCAGAAUUGUCGACUUCCAACUGUGCUAUAGGUCGUGUACUCUGUUGAGCAACUAGGGUUUCCAGUUUAACUUUUAGUUGAAUCCACCGAUACUCAUCUCUAACCUUACCCAUCCAUCGAAAAUCAUCUUCAGCAAUUUUAGCACCAUUUUCAAUAUCUUGUAACCUUCUUUCUUCUUCCUCCGAAAAUAUUAUGUUAAAAUUAAGAUGAGAUAUUUGCCUUUGUCUAUACCACCAUCUCAAGUCAUCUAGUUUUUCCAUUCGAAUAUCAUUUCUUUUUCUCUCAAAAUAUGACCUCUGAUCGUACAACCAUUCAUCAAACUCUACUCCCGUCAUCUCGCAUAUUUCUUUUAGGGCAUGUUUGUUUCGACGUAAGUAGACUUGGGGUGGAAGUGGAUUUGGAGUUGAAGUGGAGUUGGGGUGAAAAUUAGUUCACUUUUGCUGUUUGUUUCUAACUGUGGAAGUGCAGUUCUGUGAGUUCUGUUGUUUGUUUGGUAGGAAGUAGAUGACGUAAAAAGUGUAUAUUUCCACCCCUGGUAUAGUUACCUCCGAAGUGAAAUUAUUGUCUAUUUUGUAACUUAUAGUUUAUAAUAAAUUAUAAUAAAUAAAAAUUAAUAUAAUUAUAUAUGUAUNUUUUCGUCCACAAGCCCAAAACUUUUGACGAAAUAGAACCGUCAAAUAGCCUAAGCUCUGAUACCUAAUCUGAUGCAGGACGGGAUAUAGGGUCCUACAUUUUUAGAGGGCUCUAAAAUAUUAUUUAUGAUUUUAAAAGCGUUUUGAAAAUUUGAAAGAUUUGAAAUACUUUUUUUUAAAAAAAAAAUUUCGUAAAUAAAAAUUAAAGAAAAGGUAGAAGACAACGACGGUGGACACACUUGGCGACGGCAACAAUAAUGGGAGGUGAAGGAAGUGCGGAUAGAGCCGGCGCUACUAUCAGCAGAUGUUGUUGAUGUUCUGGCAGCAGGCACGUCGAAGGUGCUGGCAGCAGGUGCGUGGACUUCAGGUUGGAGAAGAAAUUGCAAAAAGGAAAAGAUAAUAUAAAGGGACUCGGUCCCUACGGACUCGCUCCGGUCGACGCAUAAAUGCGAAGGAAUAUUAGAGAACACAUCUCAUUUUUAAAAAAUAACAUUCUUCUUCAUUCAUUCUUUAUCGUCCAAUGCAGAGAAUAUUUAAAGAGCUUUUCCCGACAGUGAUAAGCUCAAAACAAAAAUUCUAACAAUAAAAUCUCUACCAAAAUUAACAACUUUCCUAACAACUUUUAGAUAAAAUCCUAACAAUAAAAUCAACAACUUUUAGAUAAAACCUCUACCAAAUUAACAACUUUCCUAACAACUUUUAGAUAAAAUCCUAACAAUAAAAUCAACAACUUUUAGAUAAAACCUCUACCAAAUUAACAACUUUNUUCCUAACAACUUUUAGAUAAAAUCCUAACAAUAAAAUCAACAACUUUUAUAUAAAAUCUCUACCAAAUUAACAACUUUCCUAACAACUUGAUGAACUAAAUCGGUUUAAUCCGAUCAACAUA